AUGUUGUGAUUUGGGAACCUUUUGAUUAAAAUCUUGAAUCUUUCCCAUGAGUCAUAAAGCAAUCAUGAAUCACAUUGUGUAAAAUUUGAAAUUUCAUUCCUUAUUUC